GUCCACGCCGUAAACGAUGUCAACUAGCCGUUGGGAGUCUUGAACUCUUAGUGGCGCAGCUAACGCAUUAAGUUGACCGCCUGGGGAGUACGGCCGCAAGGUUAAAACUCAAAGGAAUUGACGGGGACCCGCACAAGCGGUGGAUGAUGUGGAUUAAUUCGAUGCAACGCGAAAAACCUUACCAAGUCUUGACAUCCUGCGACGAUGCUGGAAACAGUAUUUCCUUCGGGACGCAGAGACAGGUGGUGCAUGGUUGUCGU
rnacentral:rRNA from 1 species